rnacentral:rRNA from 1 species
CAACGUCUGAAUAAUCGUGGUGAACGGCUCAGUAAACACGUAGUCAACAUGCCCAGAGGACGUGGAUAACCUCGGGAAACUGAGGAUAAACCGCGAUAGGUCAUAAUUACUGGAAUGUGUUAUGGCCCAAAUCUAUAUGGCCUCUGGAUUGGACUGCGGCCGAUCAGGCUGUUGGGAGGUAAUGGCCCACCAAACCUUUUACCGGUACGGGCUCUGAGAGGAGGAGCCCGGAGAUGGGCACUGAGACAAGGGCCCAGGCCCUAUGGGGCGCAGCAGGCGCGAAACCUCUGCAAUAGGCGAAAGCCUGACAGGGUUACUCUGAGUGAUUCCCG